GACGUACCGUGCGACCGUUAUUCGGAAUCACUGGGCGUAAAGCGCUCGUAGGCGGAUUGUUAAGUCGGGGGUGAAAUCCUGGAGCUCAACUCCAGAACUGCCUUCGAUACUGGCGAUCUUGAGUCCGGGAGGGGUGAGUGGAACUCCGAGUGUAGAGGUGAAAUUCGUAGAUAUUCGGAAGAACACCAGUGGCGAAGGCGGCUCACUGGCCCGGUACUGACGCUGAGACGCGAAAGCGUGGGGGGCAAACAGG
rnacentral:rRNA from 1 species